rnacentral:sRNA from 1 species
GCCAGGUGUGGCAGCGCACCCCUGUAAUCCCAGCCACGCCAGAGGCUGAGGCAGGAGGAUGGCAAAUUUGAGGCCAGAUUGGGCAAUUAGUGAGACUCUGUCUCAA